AAAUUGAAGAGUUUGAUCAUGGCUCAGAUUGAACGCUGGCGGCAGGCCUAACACAUGCAAGUCGAACGGUAACAGGAAGCAGCUUGCUUCUUUGCUGACGAGUGGCGGACGGGUGAGUAAUGUCUGGGAAACUGCCUGAUGGAGGGGGAUAACUACUGGAAACGGUAGCUAAUACCGCAUAACGUCGCAAGAC
rnacentral:rRNA from 1 species